GGCUGGUCCAAAGGUAGUGAGUUAUCUCAACUGAUUAUUCACAGUCAGUAACAAGUCAGACCCCUUUGUUCUACUCUUUCCUCCUUCUCAGUACUGCACUUGACUUGUUUUUA
ensembl:misc_RNA Y_RNA Y RNA